rnacentral:piRNA from 1 species
CCUUGCCAUUGCACUGAGAGCAG